AUUGAACGCUGGCGGCAGGCCUAACACAUGCAAGUCGAACGGAAACAGAAAGCAGCUUGCUGCUUUGCUGACGAGUGGCGGACGGGUGUGUCAUGUCUGGGAAACUGCCUGAUGGAGGGGGAUAACUACUGGAAACGGUAGCUAAUACCGCAUAACGUCUCAAGACCAAAGUGGGGGACCUUCGGGCCUCUUUCCAUCGGAUGUGCCCAGAUGGGAUUAGCUAGUAGGUGGGGUAAAGGCUCACCUAGGCGACGAUCCCUAGCUGGUCUGAGAGGAUGACCAGCCACACUGGAACUGAGACACGGUCCAGACUCCUACGGGAGGCAGCAGUGGGGAAUAUUGCACAAUGGGCGCAAGCCUGAUGCAGCAAUGCCGCGUGUAUGAAGAAGGCCUUCGGGUUGUAAAGUACUUUCAGCGGGGAGGAAGGGAGUAAAGUUAAUACCUUUGCUCAUUGACGUUACCCGAAGAAGAAGCACCGGCUAACUCCGUG
rnacentral:rRNA from 1 species